AGAGUUUGGUCGAGGCUCAGGACGUACGCUGGUGGCGCGCCUAACACAUGCAAGUCCAACGAGCGAGAUAGACCUUGCUUUCUCAAGCGAGUGGCGAACGGUUGAGUAUCGCUUGAGGAACGCUCCUCAAAGAGGGGGACAACAGUAUGAACCGAGUGAUAAUACCGCAUAAGCCCACAGGUCGGCAUCGACCAGAGGGAAAAGGAGCAAUCCGCUUUGAGAUGGCCUCGCGUCCGAUUAGCUAGUUGGUGAGGUAACGGCCCACCAAGGCAACGAUCGGUAGCCGGACUGAGAGGUUGAACGGCCACAUUGGGACUGAGACACGGCCCAGACUCCUACGGGAGGCAGCAGUGGGGAAUAUUGCACAAUGGGGGAAACCCUGAUGCAGCGACGCCGCGUGGAGGAAGAAGGUCUUCGGAUUGUAAACUCCUGUUGUUGAGGAAGAUAAUGACGGUACUCAACAAGGAAGUGACGGCUAACUACGUGCCAGCAGCCGCGGUAAAACGUAGGUCACAAGCGUUGUCCGGAAUUACUGGGUGUAAAGGGAGCGCAGGCGGGAAGACAAGUUGGAAGUGAAAUCUAUGGGCUCAACCCAUAAACUGCUUUCAAAACUGUUUUUCUUGAGUAGUGCAGAGGUAGGCGGAAUUCCCGGUGUAGCGGUGGAAUGCGUAGAUAUCGGGAGGAACACCAGUGGCGAAGGCGGCCUACUGGGCACCAACUGACGCUGAGGCUCGAAAGUGUGGGUAGCAAACAGGAUUAGAUACCCUGGUAGUCCACACCGUANACGAUGAUUACUAGGUGUUGGAGGAUUGACCCCUUCAGUGCCGCAGCUAACACAAUAAGUAAUCCACCUGGGGAGUACGACCGCAAGGUUGAAACUCAAAGGAAUUGACGGGGGCCCGCACAAGCAGUGGAGUAUGUGGUUUAAUUCGAACGCACGCGAAAGACCUUUACAAGUCUUGACAUCUUGCGACGGACAUAGAAAUAUGUUUUUUCUUCGGGACGCAAAGACAGGUGUGCAUGGUUGUCGUCAGCUCUUGUCGUGAGAUGUUGGGUUAAGUCCCGCAACGAGCGCA
rnacentral:rRNA from 1 species